GAGAGGAAAGGGGAGAAAUGCUUGUGGACUAAUCUUCACUCUCACCCCACAUCUCAGUGUCCGGAAAUAUUCUGAUCACACUCCGCCACAUUGGCAUCCUCUUCCUACUCUUUCUUCUUUUGGCAUUCCUGGGCCAUCAACCCACCCAGACUGCAACUUCACAUGAACAGAUCCCCAGAAGAUAGAGAGACUUAGCUGAUCUUCCCAAAUCUUCCUGAUCUAAUAUUCUGAUGUGACCCUGAACCAUCCACAACAAGCAUGUUGGGGUCUGAACAUGACUUUCUUCUCCCUGCCUCCCACCCCCAUCCUGUUCUCUCCAUGGAUUCCCAGAUUGCCUGUGUCUCUCUCAUCAUAUCUGCUUUUCCCAUAACCAUGGAGAUCCACAAGUUAAGGGUCUUUUCCAAUGAAUCGUGUCUCAUUAUGUAGCCAAAGUAGUUAAGCUUCAACUUUAGUAUUUGUCCUUCCAAUGAAGAGUUUGAAUAAAUUGCUGAUUUGAUGACCUUACUGUUCAAGGGACUUCUCCAGCACAAUUCAAAAGCGUAGUUAUUUGAGACUCAGCAUUCCUUAUAGUUCAACAGUCAGAGUCAUACAUUGCUGCUGGAAAAACCAUAGCUUUGACCAUAUGGGCUUCUUAUUUGAUUAAAAAAAACUGCUUGGAAAAUUGGAAAGAAGUUUGGCAGAAACUAGGCAUAGACCAACAUCUCAUACCAGAUAUCAAAAUAAGCUCCAGAUGAAUACAGAGCUUAGAUGCAAAGGUGACAGUCUACACAAAUUAAAGGCCCAUAGGAGACAUUAACUAUCAGAUCUGUAGAGAAGAACACAGAAGGUAAAAUGGGCAAUUUUGAUGACAUAAAACUAAAAAAGUUUUUGCAUGAACAGAACCAACCCAACUCAAAUUAUAAGAGAUGCAUGUAGAUGGAAGAAAACCAAUCUUUGGAGCAAGUUUAUCUCAUAAGAGUCUCAUUUCUAAGAUACACAGGGAACUGCUUCAAAUUUAGAAGAAUAUGAUCCAUUCCCAGUUGAUAAAGAGCCACAGCAUAUAAACAGACAGUUUUCAGAAGAAGAAACCUAACCUAUGAAUAAUCAUGUGAAAAUGCUGCAGGAUCUCUCCCCAAGCCAUUCCUCUCAGCCCUGCCAGGGCCUGUGGUGGCACCAGGGGGGG